GCCGAGCGUGGUGGUGGGUGCCUGUAGUCCCAGCUACUCAGGAGGCUGAGGUGGGAGGAUCACUUGAGCCCAGGAGUUCUGGGCUGCAGUGCGCUAUGCCGAUCAGGUGUCCACACUAAGUUCGGCAUCAAUAUGGUGACCUCCUGGGAGCAGGGGACUACCAGGUUGCCUAAGGAGGGGUGAACUGGCCCAGGUCGGAAAUGGAGCAGGUCAAAACUCCCGUGCUCAUUAGUAGUGGGAUUGCGCCUGUGAAUAGCCACUGCACUCCAGCCUGGGCAACAUAGGGAGAUCCCGUCUCUA
ensembl:misc_RNA Metazoa_SRP Metazoan signal recognition particle RNA